CUCCUCAUCGCUGGCUGCGUUGGCUAGGAAAGGUCUCUGAUAACACCGCCAAGUAUCUGAGGAAAAAGGUCCUCGCGACGGAAUCCAGUGAGCUGAAACCGCAUGCCUGCACUUCCUCUUCCCCAAGCACCGACUGUGUCGACUGCAAUGGUGAAAAUUCACCUCGGGGACUUAAAAACUUAACGAGUGAUAGAGGAAUUAAACAGGGUGGAGAUAAUCCUAACUACAAAAACCCCCUGAAAUUCCAAAUGAGGCUACUGACCUACUUUUUCAAAAUUCAAAUUUGAAUUUGACAGAAGUAGGCCACAAUACCCCAUUUUGGAAAAUCAGGAAGGUACUGUAGAUAAGAUGGAGAGUUUUAAUUCUCAGCUUAUUAAGGCUCUGGAGGCAUCACUCACCUCCAACAAUACUGAGAUGGAGGGGUUAAUUAAUUUCUUAAUUAAAAAAUCCUCAACUCUAGUGAUGAGGCUCAUAAACAUUACACAGACAGGGUUGCCAGUGUCCUUGCCGCGCUUUUGCCUCCCAGUUGCGAUGGUCGUAACCCCCCUGCCCUUACUAACCCGCGUAAAAACCUUCCGCCGCCAGCGAGAAAUCGCAGCGAACGGAAACGUUCCAACUACGCGUCCUUCUAUUCGCUCUUCAGGUGAGACCCGAAACGUAUUGCGGCCCACCUCAUCAAGAAACAGCCCCUUUGUAAUGUAAGCUGCCCAAUCGAUGUCGCUGAGUCCUCUCUGCGAUAGCGAUUAAAUCAGCGCCCCGGUAUCGAUGCAGCGCCCUUCAAAUCGAAACGCCCACCCAAUACUGAAAACAUUCUGUCCCCCAUAUCAGCAGAAAAGAUGUCUGCAAAAAGGUCGUCAGGCGACCUCGACGGAGUUCAGGUGUCACGCCUACGAAAAUGUGACCCGGUGUGCCUUGCGAAGGCCUUUAACUGCUUUUUCCUUGCAAGGUACAUUCCCCCACAACUCAAGGAUUGUCGCACCACCCUCAUCCCUAAAACCGACAAUCCACGCCCCGACGCAGAAGAUUACCGGCCCAUAACUAUCGCUUCAUGCAUAUACCGGCUCUUCAGCAAGAUUGUAACGAGGCGGCUUGAAAAUUGUGUUACAAUCUUGCUGUAGAUAAAAAAAUAAAAAAAAUUGCCAUGCAUGCCUGCCUGCAUGCCGCAUGAGAACUCCCGCUAGGGGGGGGGGAGGCCAACGCCUAUUUUUAGGGACUCGAGGGGGAAUCGUGUGUGGACCAACAUGGCAACCGACGAAGUUGGACCGAAUCGGAUGGAACGCGCUCAAGAGCUGACGUCGACCAACCGCAUGGGAAGACAGAGCCGCGCUGCCGAUGGAGAUCCACAAGCGAAUCCUAUGCGAACCACAGAAGUCGGGAGAAGACGACUAAAGAUAACGGCUCCUAAUCGGAGCCGCCGCCCCCCUGAAGCCGGGCCCUCAUUACUGUUCCCACUAUACACUCCCCAUGACAAACCUCCCCUUACACAUUGUUAAAAUCGGUACCGGCCGUUACCGGGCUGCUCUGCAGUAUUUAUUAUGUAUACAAUUGUUGUUAUUCUACUGUGUAAUUCAAUAAAACACCAUUCAUGCGCGUCACCAUUAGACCGACGAAAGCCGGCGCUCUCCUGAGUGUCCUGCAAAUACCGAAUCUAGCCAAAUGCGUCGUCAUCUAGAAUGGAUCAACAAGAUUCCUUCUGUCCCUAUCUACUAUCUAGCGAAACCACAGCCAAGGGAACGGGCUUGGCAAAAUCAGCGGGGAAAGAAGACCCUGUUGAGCUUGACUCUAGUCUGACUCUGUGAAGAGACAUGAAAGGUGUAGCAUAGGUGGGAGAUUGUCAAAUUGCCAUCGUUCGCGCGGUGGUCCGGUGAUCGCCAAUGAAAUACCACUACUUUGAUCGUUUCUUUACUUAUUCGGCAAUUUGGCGGUGUUUAUGUCGCUGUUGGUCAUUGUUUUCAUGUUAGAUUGAAGCUUUGUUUACAGCCGUCGCUUUGUGUCGCCAUUUGACGCAUUGUUGUGCUGGGUUAUCCCGGUGUGUGGUGUAGUCAGUAUGGAUGAUCGGCGAUAGGUUUGAAGUGAUUCGCUCCGGAAACAGUGUCAGACGGGGAGUUUGACUGGGGCGGUACAUCUGUUAAACGAUAACGCAGGUGUCCUAAGGUAAGCUCAGCGAGGACAGAAACCUCGCUUAGAGUAAACGGGCACAAGCUUACUUGAUUUUGAUUUCCAGUACGAAUAGAAACCGCGAAAGCGUGGCCUAUCGAUCCUUUUGAUUGUGUAGAUUUCAUGCAAGAGGUGUCAGAAAAGUUACCACAGGGAUAACUGGCUUGUGGCAGCCAAGCGUCCAUAGCGACGUUGCUUUUUGAUCCUUCGAUGUCGGCUCUUCCUAUCAUUGCGAAGCAGAAUUCGCCAAGCGUUGGAUUGUUCACCCACCAAUAGGGAACGUGAGCUGGGUUUAGACCGUCGUGAGACAGGUUAGUUUUACCCUACUGAUGACAAGUCGUUGCGAUAGUAAUCCUGCUCAGUACGAGAGGAACCGCGGGAUCAGACAUUUGGUUCAUGAGCUCGGCUGAACUGCUUGGGAACUUUUUGUAAUUUAAAAAAAUUUUUCCAAGUCCAAAAAUUGCUCUUGGAAAGUUUUUGU
rnacentral:rRNA from 1 species